AUUUCACUAAUAAUAUUUGUUCAAUUCAAUAAUGCAAGAAGAAAGAUCCAAAAACUCUAUUUCAGUUUGAAAUAUUUAGUAAUAUUACAAUUUUAGGGUAGAUUUACAAUUACAUUCACGAUGUAUCAAGACGAAUAUGCAACAAUUUUAAUUUUCUGCAUAAUUUUCAGCAUGGGCCUUUAGCAUACCGCCUUUAACGGUCAAACGGUUUAACCAUAUCUACAUUUUUUCCUCCGGUGUUUUUAGUGACUAAACGUGCGUAUCCACUGCGAAAGUGGCAAUGAUAAUGAAAACCUAGCCGAAAGCAGAUGCUUAGUAUCAACUCGAAAACUAAUAGUAAAACAUACCAUGAUGUACAUACUUAUAAAUUUUUUAUUGUCAUUUUUAUAUGAGAAAAGUUUUUUCAGCAAACCAGUCGAGCGACGGAAUCAAAUUACCACAGGAAUUAUUACAUAUACAGCAAAUGAAUGAAUUACAAAAUUGUAUAAUUAUUGUAAACCUGCAAAUUGAAUGAAACAAUUUUAAUUUGCAAAUGAAUAAGGCAUCUAGUAAUUUAACAGCAUUUCAUCAUCCACAAUCAUUAAAUCCUUCCUAAUACCCACAAGUUUAAGAAAUAAGUAAUAAAAAACGACGAGAAGAGUUCGGGAAGAUUGGUAUGUAUUGGUUUGCGUGGGAUGGUAUCCUGAUUGUUAUUUCUAUAAUAUAUACAAGAAGAAGCUAUUUGUUUCAAGUAUUGAAUUAAACUUUUAUGCAAUUUUCAUGUUUUUUCAUCCUUACCCUCGUUGGUUACCCAUGCAAAUGCAUAUUUUCUCUCUUGCCGUGUGUAUAUGCAUUUCUCUCACCAGAAGCACCAGAAAAAAAUGUACAUAUAGUUCGAAUGUUGACCACCAGAAAUCCCUAAUGUGCAUUUUCUGGUUUUAUUAACUUUGCAUUGGCAAUCUCUAUUCGCCUUUGCUCAUGAUACAACAAUGAAAUAACUAGAUUCUGUUGCAUAUGUGAAUGCGUCUUAAAUUUGUACAGAGCAGACGACUUAUCGCCAUUUUACCCAGGUAAUUGAAGAAUAACGUAGGGAGUACGAAAUUAUAAAGAUGUUGACUGUAAGAUCAGCUUUACGAGGAUUCACCAGAUCCUUCAAAACUACUGCUGUUAACAAAA